rnacentral:rRNA from 1 species
ACAUGCAAGUCGAACGGCAGCACGGGAGCAAUCCUGGUGGCGAGUGGCGAACGGGUGAGUAAUAUAUCGGAACGUGCCCAGUCGUGGGGGAUAACGCAGCGAAAGCUGAGCUAAUACCGCAUACGAUCUCUGGAUGAAAGCGGGGGACUCGCAAGGGCCUCGCGCGAUUGGAGCGGCCGAUAUCAGAUUAGCUAGUUGGCGGGGUAAAAGCCCACCAAGGCGACGAUCUGUAGCUGGUCUGAGAGGACGACCAGCCACACUGGAACUGAGACACGGUCCAGACUCCUACGGGAGGCAGCAGUGGGGAAUUUUGGACAAUGGGCGCAAGCCUGAUCCAGCAAUGCCGCGUGCAGGAUGAAGGCCUUCGGGUUGUAAACUGCUUUUGUACGGAACGAAACGGUCUGCCCUAAUACGGUGGGCUAAUGACGGUACCGUGAGAAUAAGCACCGGCUAACUACGUGCCAGCAGCCGCGGUAAUACGUAGGGUGCGAGCGUUAAUCGGAAUUACUGGGCGUAAAGCGUGCGCAGGCGGUUAUAUAAGACAGAUGUGAAAUCCCCGGGCUCAACCUGGGACCUGCAUUUGUGACUGUAUAGCUAGAGUACGAUAGAGGGGGAUGGAAUUCCGCGUGUAGCAGUGAAAUGCGUAGAUAUGCGGAGGAACACCGACGGCGAAGGCAAUCCCCUGGACCUGUACUGACGCUCA